GACGAACGCUGGCGGCGUGCCUAAUACAUGCAAGUUGAGCGAUGAAGAUUGGUGCUUGCACCAAUUUGAAGAGCAGCGAACGGGUGAGUAACGCGUGGGGAAUCUGCCUUUGAGCGGGGGACAACAUUUGGAAACGAAUGCUAAUACCGCAUAAUAACUUUAAACAUAAGUUUUAAGUUUGAAAGAUGCAAUUGCAUCACUCAAAGAUGAUCCCGCGUUGUAUUAGCUAGUUGGUGAGGUAAAGGCUCACCAAGGCGAUGAUACAUAGCCGACCUGAGAGGGUGAUCGGCCACGUUGGGACUGAGACACGGCCCAAACUCCUACGGGAGGCAGCAGUAGGGAAUCUUCGGCAAUGGACGAAAGUCUGACCGAGCAACGCCGCGUGAGUGAAGAAGGUUUUCGGAUCGUAAAACUCUGUUGGUAGAGAAGAACGUUGGUGAGAGUGGAAAGCUCAUCAAGUGACGGUAACUACCCAGAAAGGGACGGCUAACUACGUG
rnacentral:rRNA from 1 species